rnacentral:rRNA from 1 species
AGUGAACGCUGGCGGUAGGCCUAACACAUGCAAGUCGAACGGCAGCACAGUAAGAGCUUGCUCUUACGGGUGGCGAGUGGCGGACGGGUGAGGAAUACAUCGGAAUCUACUUUUUCGUGGGGGAUAACGUAGGGAAACUUACGCUAAUACCGCAUACGACCUACGGGUGAAAGCAGGGGAUCUUCGGACCUUGCGCGAUUGAAUGAGCCGAUGUCGGAUUAGCUAGUUGGUGGGGUAAAGGCCCACCAAGGCGACGAUCCGUAGCUGGUCUGAGAGGAUGAUCAGCCACACUGGAACUAAGACACGGUCCAGACUCCUACGGGAGGCAGCAGUGGGGAAUAUUGGACAAUGGGCGCAAGCCUGAUCCAGCCAUACCGCGUGGGUGAAGAAGGCCUUCGGGUUGUAAAGCCCUUUUGUUGGGAAAGAAAAGCAGCAGGUUAAUACCCCGCUGUUCUGACGGUACCCAAAGAAUAAGCACCGGCUAACUUCGUG